ensembl:lncRNA
AUGUUUCAACAGAGACAGUUCCUCCCUCUAAUGGGCCCAGAGGAGUGCGGCUUUCAAAGGAUUCAACAUGGAAGUGACAGGCUGGAAACUCUUAUUAAUGGUCUGUGCGCCAGCGAGGAACCGCAAGCAGCAUGUGCCAACAGCCCAGAGGCCACGGCCAGGCAGAGCCAGCCCUCCCCAGCCACCAGCAUCCAGCCACAGCCCAUAGGCUGGGGUCUGCCUCAGAGGGAGAAAGACCCAAGAAGGAAAGACUCAGGACCUAGGCAAACAUAAGGAAGGAGCCUCUGCCCUACAGCACCUACAGUGAAAUAAUCUCCACACUUAAACAAUGAGCUGCUGCACAGACAGGUGUUGAAUGAGGCUUCAUUGAAAUUUAAACCACAGACAGUACACAGAUAAAUGGCCAAGGAUGGGGACACCCAGUCCCCGGAGGGGGGAAAAUGAAAUUUUCCAUUAGACCUCACCUCAAGUGAGAGAAACUGGUUCUUCCUCUCCAUCUCAGGGUCCUAAGGAUGGUCACAAAAAUCUUCAGCAGAGGACUGUCUCAAUGUAAGAAAAGCAUAAUUAUGGGCUUAGCAGAAAGAGGCCUCAUCAGUGGUUUUCAGUUCACCUCAAUUAACUCUUCCUUGUUAUCCAUCCACCAAUGACCUGUACCCUUCCUCUCUCUCACCACAGAUAACGAAUCUCUCUCUUGGCUUAGCAUCCAUCCAUUGCUCCUGAAGUUCUAAUUACAUUUUACUCAUAACUUGUUUAAUCAACUACCAUAAUUAAAUUAAGCAGUGCCUUUUUACCUAUAUGCAGCUUGUAGUUUGGGUUGUAGGUUGAUGCAUUUGCGGAGACCCAAGCAUCCCAGUCUGUCUUGUACAGGCUACCACCUCUCUGCAAACCCUGCCUCUCAGCCACAGUGUUGUUCCUCUGAAAGAAAUGGGUUUUCAUUUCCUUUCUUCUCUUAUUAUUAAUGUUCACAGUUUCAUGCCAAGCUAGAGGAAAAUUAUUUCCUCUUUAAAAGUAGCCCUACAUGGAGAAAAAUAAUUCCAUUUUUAAUAAACAAAAGUGAUCUUAGGUACAGAAGUGCAUAAUUUUCUUUUGCUUUUUCCGUUCAUCAUCAACAAGGGAGUAGCCCUGUUCAGACUUGAUGCCAGCUCUGUAUACUAAUAAAAAUGGACAAAGUGUUGUAGAUUAGGAGACUAAAAAUGUCUGUUACAGAGUGCUUCACAUUCCUGCUGGAUAAAGGAAAGCAGACUUAGAAAUUUGAGUGAUUAUAUGAGAAACAAUAGUCUUUUGCUUGCGACCUCAGUAGAGCAAUGAAGGUGGCAAGUGUGCUUUGAAGCUGCUGGCAUUGUCAAAAAACAGGAAACCCUGAAGUUCCUGUUGCAGUUUCCCCCAGGAAGGGAGGUUUCCCUCAGCCCAGAGUGGGCUAAGCCAGGGGACCACCAAAGGUAUGGGAAACACUUUGCUCACUCAGAAACUGGGGAAAGUUUGCUAGUGUAGUCCAUGGAUGUGACAAGAUAUCCUAAGGGAGUUCACCUGGGCGACUCUGGAGGUUGAACACCCAAGGUGAGUCAUGGGUCAUUUUCUACAAUUCAGAGACAAAGUUUACUUCUUCUUCAGUGCCAAGAAUAUAACUCUGGAAAUCAUGCAAGACAAAUUUUGUGUGGCUUGUUAUAAAGUCUCAGGUGGAGAUUUACAUUAGUCUGAGCUUCAGCUGACACACAUGCCCUGGGCCAACUGUUCAGCUCCUGCCCUCCCCCUUUGCUGUGCAGCAAAUAAAAGAGUGCAAGACAGCCUUGCUACCUCAAGACAACCAUUUACUUGGAGAGAGGUCCUUGAGUGUCCUUUUAGAGGUGUUUUGCUCCACAAAAGCAAAGCCAAUCUGCCAGGACUGAUCCCUGCAAUCUAGUGAUGUGGCUAAUUGAAACCACUUGAUUUUGAAUGCUUAAUAUAUGUUUGUACACAAGAUGUAGUCCACGCCUUUUUUGGAGAAGCCACAAGGCAACUGAUGAUUACAUACAAGAAUACAGACGUCUAAUUGUGUCAUUUGUAAAUUGGCACUUUGUCCAGAACCCAUGUGAGGUGGUGAGGUCUGAUCUGUUUCCCAGGCAGCUCCUUGGAACCUCAUCAGGAAUUUUCUGGGCCCUUGCUAAGCC